UACGUAGGGCGCAAGCGUUUGUCCGGAAUCAUUGGGCGUAAAGAGCUCGUAGGUGGUCUGUUACGUCUGCUGUGAAAUCCUAGGGCUUAACCCUGGGCCUGCAGUGGAUACGGGCAGACUAGAGGUAGGUAGGGGGAGAAUGGAAUUCCCGGUGUAGCGGUGAAAUGCGCAGAUAUCGGGAGGAACACCGGUGGCGAAGGCGGUUCUCUGGGCCUUACCUGACACUGAGGAGCGAAAGCGUGGGGAGCGAACAGG
rnacentral:rRNA from 1 species